rnacentral:rRNA from 1 species
UGGGGAAUUUGGACAAUGGGCGAAAGCCUGAUCCAGCAAUGCCGCGUGUGUGAAGAAGGCCUUCGGGUUGUAAAGCACUUUUGUCCGGAAAGAAAUCCUUGGCUCUAAUACAGUCGGGGGAUGACGGUACCGGAAGAAUAAGCACCGGCUAACUACGUGCCAGCAGCCGCGGUAAUACGUAGGGUGCAAGCGUUAAUCGGAAUUACUGGGCGUAAAGCGUGCGCAGGCGGUUUGCUAAGACCGAUGUGAAAUCCCCGGGCUCAACCUGGGAACUGCAUUGGUGACUGGCAGGCUAGAGUAUGGCAGAGGGGGGUAGAAUUCCACGUGUAGCAGUGGGAAUGCGUAGAGAUGUGGAGGAAUACCGAUGGCGAAGGCAGCCCCCUGGGCCAAUACUGACGCUCAUGCACGAAAGCGUGGGGAGCAAACAGGAUUAGAUACCCUGGUAGUCCACGCCCUAAACGAUGUCAACUAGUUGUUGGGGAUUCAUUUCCUUAGUAACGUAGCUAACGCGUGAAGUUGACCGCCUGGGGAGUACGGUCGCAAGAUUAAAACUCAAAUG